GACGAGCCACACAAACGUUAUUCGGAAUUACUGGGCUUAAAGGGUGCGUAGGCUGUGCGGAAAGUGGGGUGUGAAAUCCCUCGGCUCAACCGAGGAACUGCGCUCCAAACUACCGUGCUUGAGUGAGACAGAGGUAAGCGGAACUUCGGGUGGAGCGGUGAAAUGCGUUGAUAUCCGAAGGAACACCGGUGGCGAAAGCGGCUUACUGGGUCUCAACUGACGCUGAUGCACGAAAGCUAGGGUAGCAAACGGG
rnacentral:rRNA from 1 species